CCUACGGGGGGCAGCAGUGGGGAAUAUUGGACAAUGGGGGCAACCCUGAUCCAGCCAUGCCGCGUGUGUGAAGAAGGCCCUCGGGUUGUAAAGCACUUUCAGUGAGGAAGAACGCCUGGUGGUUAAUACCCAUCAGGAAAGACAUCACUCACAGAAGAAGCACCGGCUAACUCCGUGCCAGCAGCCGCGGUAAUACGGAGGGUGCGAGCGUUAAUCGGAAUUACUGGGCGUAAAGCGCGCGUAGGUGGCUUGAUAAGCCGGUUGUGAAAGCCCCGGGCUCAACCUGGGAACGGCAUCCGGAACUGGCAAGCGAGCGUGCAGGAGAGGAAGGUAGAAUUCCCGGUGUAGCGGUGAAAUGCGGAGAGAGCGGGAGGAAUACCAGUGGCGAAGGCGGCCUUCUGGACUGACACUGACACUGAGGUGCGAAAGCGUGGGUAGCAAACAGGAUUAGAGACCCGAGUAGUC
rnacentral:rRNA from 1 species